UCUAACCUCUACACUACAGGACUUCAUUUUGAACCUGCACAAUGAGGAUUAUUUUCAGCAGAAAAGUCUCCUCCGUGUCUCUCGGGUAUCUUGGCUGUUUGGGAUCGAAGGAGGAACCGAUCAUUUCGGCUCAUUCAGUGAGAAUCUCGACCAGUUCUGACCCACGUCAACCGCCUGAGAGACUGAGAUCUCGUCUCCGCUGCUGAAAAGAGGAGCGGAAGAGCGGAAAAACCCACGAUGGACGGGAAAAGGACCUCGGAAUUCCUCUCGUUCGUAGCCCUCGGACCGUUCAAGCUCGGAAUGGAAGCUUAGACUUGUAGCUAAAUUUAAUUCCCCG